rnacentral:rRNA from 1 species
GUGAACGCUGGCGGUAGGCCUAACACACGCAAGUCGAACGGCAGCACAGUAAGCGCUUGCUCUUACGGGUGGCGAGUGGCGGACGGGUGAGGAAUACAUCGGAAUCUACUUUUUCGUGGGGGAUAACGUAGGGAAACUUACGCUAAUACCGCAUACGACCUACGGGUGAAAGCAGGGGAUCUUCGGACCUUGCGCGAUUGAAUGAGCCGAUGUCGGAUUAGCUAGUUGGCGGGGUAAAGGCCCACCAAGGCGACGAUCCGUAGCUGGUCUGAGAGGAUGAUCAGCCACACUGGAACUGAGACACGGUCCAGACUCCUACGGGAGGCAGCAGUGGGGAAUAUUGGACAAUGGGCGCAAGCCUGAUCCAGCCAUACCGCGUGGGUGAAGAAGGCCUUCGGGUUGUAAAGCCCUUUUGUUGGGAAAGAAAAGCAGCAGGUUAAUACCCCGCUGUUCUGACGGUACCCAAAGAAUAAGCACCGGCUAACUUCGUG